rnacentral:sRNA from 1 species
CCUGUGGAGCGUUACAUCAAACGAGAGUAGCCUGUUGUUUCGGCAACGGCAAAAUCGGACGCAAUGAAUCAGGAA